rnacentral:piRNA from 1 species
AUGAAUCAACUCAUUAGCAUGGUGCUGCUCCC